rnacentral:ncRNA from 1 species
UAACCGAACAGGCAAAAUUCGAGGAAUCGAAUGACGCAAAAGCCACCUGCUCAGAACGGCUAGAGGGUGUUGUCGAG